rnacentral:rRNA from 1 species
UGUACACGCUGUGACUAGCAUAUCAAUAAGCGGAGGAAAAGAAACUAACAAGGAUUCCCCUAGUAACGGCGAGUGAAGCUGGGAAGAGCUCAAAUUUGAAAUCUUAAAGGGUUUCCCUUUACGAAUUGUAGUUUAAAGAAGUGUUUUCUGUUGAGGUUUUGGUAAAAGUUCUUUGGAAUAGGACAUCAUAGAGGGUGAGAAUCCCGUAUUUGACCUUUACUUUCAACUUUGUGAUACACUUUCGAAGAGUCGGAUUGUUUGGGAAUGCAGUCCAAAAUGGGUGGUAAAUUUCAUCUAAAGCUAAAUAUUGGCGAGAGACCGAUAGCGAACAAGUACCGUGAGGGAAAGAUGAAAAGAACUUUGAAAAGAGAGUUAAACAGUACGUGAAAUUGUCAAAAGGGAAGCGUUUGACACCAGUGUUGUUUUUCUGAAAAUCAAUUAAAGAACUGUUUAUGCUAAGCUUGUUUAGACUUUAUCAGCUAAUCUGUUUAGUUUUGAGCUUUUCUUUAGUGCACUUUUCAGUUAACAAGUCAACAUCAAUUUCUUUUGCUGUAAAAAAGCUUGAGGAAGGUGGCUUGAGAUUCGUCUUAAGUGUUUAUAGCCUCUUGCCUAUGCAGUCGGAGAGAUUGAGGUCUGCAGCGUAGAUCCUUCGGGGCUAAAUGCAUUUGUGCUAAGUUAUAGCAUUUUAUAGACAACUUGUUGACUAUGAUUUGUCUUGUAGCUUACUCGCUUAUGUUAUUUUACCUACGCUUAGGAUGUUGACGCGCGUGUGUGCGUG